AGUAAACCCAAUCCAAUAUAUUUCAAUCUCUUAGCACCAGUACCCAAUCCAUUAGCCAUUCUGCCACAAUUCAUCCGCCAAUCUGCGAGAAAGCUCUCAUGAAUGGACGAAGGCAGUGCACGGCCAUUCAUCAGCCUCUCAUUUUCAUCUCUUUGAGCCCUUGAAGUGACGAUGCUGACGCUGCCUUCUUUCCGUCGACACCACCAACGGGCAACAACAGUAAUGAUUCAAUUUUCAAAGAAGAAGGCGUGAAAAACUUACCACUGAACCGUGAACUCAUUGAACUGGUGAAGAUUGAAGAAGAAGAAAUCGAUUCAAUAGUCAACAGAAAAAGGUAAAGCUUGAAAGCCCUACCAUUUCUCUUUUUAUGGUAAAUGAUUUUUAAGGGUGUUUGUAGAUCCAUGGUUACCUUGACCAACUCCUUUAAACCUAUGCAAUCUAAAGAGAAAGUAGAGAUUGCAAGUGAUCUGAUAACCAAUGUUUUUUUCCAAUUGAUUAACAUGUUAUUGGUUGGGGCAGAGCCCAAUGAAGUCCAUGCCCACACUGAACUUUUUUUUCCAAUUGAUUAACAUGAUAACCAAUGUUUUUUUUGCCAAUUGAUUAACAUGUCUAUUAUUGGUACAUUGUCUGUUAUGUAAAUUAGGUUUUGUGACCUUAUUUUGAUAAUUUUUGAAUUCUUUAAAUAAAAUGUGACUUGAUUUAGAUGAUAUGCGACCUCAACAUGAUAAGUGUGACAUGAUGUUAUAUUAUUACUUGAUUUCUAAAAGAUUACAAGUUUAAAACAUGAAUAGUUAAUGAGUUAUUUUUUAGAAUAGUCACAAUCACAAAAGAACAUGUCACAAUUAGCAUAUUUGUUGGUCACAGUCGCAUGUUUAUGGUUGUGUUUUAGGUCAUGGUCACUUGUCUGACUUUCUAUUUUGUGCAAGACUCAAAAUAUUUUGAUAAAAGAAAGCAAAUGGUUUCUUGACAAGAUCACAAAGUGCCAUCACAGACUUCAUGAUGAAAUUCAAGGCUUCACCGAAUGAGAUCCCUGAAGACACUUAUUACACUUACCACAUGCAUUGAGAGAGAUCUUUGUCCAACCUCUAACUUAUUCAUUAUAAGUGGUUGUGGAAGGUUAAGCAACCAAACAAGGAAGAGAUUGAUUCAACAUCAAUGGCAAAUAUAUUCAAUUUUCAAUUACCGAAUUUGUUUUGUGACUGGGCUAUGAUAUGUUGGAAUAGAUGAUUGAACAACCAUCUAAAAUGAGAGGGAAAUUAAAGACUGAUGAUUGAAUGAUUGUUAAUAGAAUUACUUUGAAAAUGAUUUUUCAUUCAUGAUGUUUCAGGUAGAUGUUGUCUUUAUAUGAAUUCGGUUUGUUUGUAUGUGUGAAUGAUUAUUUUUCACCUUCUUAAAAUUCUAGGUGACUGUUAUUCUUGUGUACUUUAAAUGAGAAACUG
rnacentral:lncRNA from 1 species